rnacentral:tRNA from 1 species
GCAAGGAUGCUGGAAUUGGCAGACAGGCACGCUUGAGGUGCGUGUGUCAACAGACGUGUGGGUUCAAGUCCCAUUCCUUGCACCA